rnacentral:rRNA from 1 species
AGUGAACGCUGGCGGUAGGCCUAACACAUGCAAGUCGAACGGAUCCUUCGGGAUUAGUGGCGGACGGGUGCGUAACACGUGGGAACGUGCCCUUUGGUUCGGAACAACUCAGGGAAACUUGAGCUAAUACCGGAUGUGCCCUUCGGGGGAAAGAUUUAUCGCCAUUGGAGCGGCCCGCGUCUGAUUAGCUGGUUGGUGAGGUAAAGGCUCAUCAAGGCGACGAUCAGUAGCUGGUCUGAGAGGAUGAUCAGCCACAUUGGGACUGAGACACGGCCCAAACUCCUACGGGAGGCAGCAGUGGGGAAUCUUGCGCAAUGGGCGAAAGGCUGACGCAGCCAUGCCGCGUGAAUGAUGAAGGUCUUAGGAUUGUAAAAUUCUUUCACCGGGGACGAUAAUGACGGUACCCGGAGAAGAAGCCCCGGCUAACUUCGUGCCAGCCGCCGCAGUAAGAC